rnacentral:rRNA from 1 species
AUUGAACGCUGGCGGAAUGCUUUACACAUGCAAGUCGAGCGGCAGCGCGGGGGCAACCCUGGCGGCGAGCGGCGAACGGGUGAGUAAUAUAUCGGAACGUACCCCGUCGUGGGGGAUAACACAGCGAAAGCUGUGCUAAUACCGCAUACGACCUGAGGGUGAAAGCGGGGGAUCGCAAGACCUCGCGCGAUGGGAGCGGCCGAUAUCGGAUUAGCUUGUUGGUGAGGUAAAGGCUCACCAAGGCGACGAUCCGUAGCUGGUCUGAGAGGACGACCAGCCACACUGGAACUGAGUCACGGCCCAGACUCCUACGGGAGGCAGCAGUGGGGAAUUUUGGACAAUGGACGCAAGUCUGAUCCAGCAAUGCCGCGUGCAGGACGAAGGCCUUCGGGUUGUAAACUGCUUUUGUACAGAACGAAAAGGCUCUGGUUAAUACCUGGGGCUCAUGACGGUACUGUAAGAAUAAGCACCGGCUAACUAACGUGCCAGCAGCCGCGGUAAU